GUCAGGAUGGCCGAGCGGUCCAAGGCGCUGCGUUCAGGUCUCAGUCCGGUCUUCCGGGCGUGGGUUCGAAUCCCACUCCUGACA
rnacentral:tRNA from 1 species